UACGAAGGGUGCAAGCGUUACUCGGAAUUACUGGGCGUAAGGCGUGCGUAGGUGGUUUGUUAAGUCUGAUGUGAAAGCCCUGGGCUCAACCUGGGAACUGCAUUGGAUACUGGCUUACUAGAGUGCGGUAGAGGGGUGUGGAAUUCCCGGUGUAGCAGUGAAAUGCGUAGAUAUCGGGAGGAACAUCUGUGGCGAAGGCGACACCCUGGACCAGCACUGACACUGAGGCACGGAAGCGUGGGGAUUCAAUGGG
rnacentral:rRNA from 1 species